rnacentral:sRNA from 1 species
UGCAUGUCUGGAGGGACCAAGGAAAGUGUGGAGACGCUCCAAGGAUUAGGUGAUCCGAGCUUGAAAAGAAAAAAAGCCAAACAAAUAAACAAAACCCACCCACCCUAACAAAUAUGAGGCUGCUGGAGAGAAUGAGGAAAGACUGGUUCAUGGUCGGAAUAGUGCUGGCGAUCGCUGGAGCUAAACUGGAGCCGUCCAUAGGGGUGAAUGGGGGACCACUGAAGCCAGAAAUAACUGUAUCCUACAUUGCUGUUGCAACAAUAUUCUUUAACAGUGGACUAUCAUUGAAAACAGAGGAGCUGACCAGUGCUUUGGUGCAUCUAAAACUGCAUCUUUUUAUUCAGAUCUUUACUCUUGCAUUCUUCCCAGCAACAAUAUGGCUUUUUCUUCAGCUUUUAUCAAUCACACCCAUCAACGAAUGGCUUUUAAAAGGUUUGCAGACAGUAGGUUGCAUGCCUCCGCCUGUGUCUUCUGCAGUGAUUUUAACCAAGGCAGUUGGUGGAAAUGAGGCAGCUGCAAUAUUUAAUUCAGCCUUUGGAAGUUUUUUGGUAAGUAAACAUAGUUUAACUUGUCUAUUACAACUUUUGCUGUGAUAUUGUGUAUAUGAAAGAUUUAGUGAAAGCUGGAUUUGUUUUACUCUUUGGUUAAAUAUAAAAGUUGUUGAAUCUUUUCAUGUGCCAGUAUCCAUACCCUGAAGAAAAGUAGUUAAUGAAUAAAGCAAAUGUUCUCUUACAAUAUAUUUUGGAGGUUUGGGUUUUAAAAUUCCAUUUAAUGAAUUCAAGGAAUCAAUUAAAACACUAUGUGUCUCCUUAUAGAGGUUAUGUCAAUAUAUUGAUCAUUUAAUGAGGUCUUUUAGAUUAUUAUUAUUUUGUAUCAUGGGACUGAGGAUUUUGAAAGGGAAACAUGACCCAGCUGGUCAGAAAGGGAAUGCUAAUUUACUUGUUGACAUGCCAUUUAUUUUGUACAUUUCACUGUCGAAGCUACUGGCUUGGAUGCUUCUGAGAAAUCUA